rnacentral:hammerhead_ribozyme from 1 species
AUCCAGAUGACGAGUCCCAAAUAGGACGAAACGCGUGUCCUAGAU